rnacentral:tRNA from 4 species
GCCGCCUUAGCUCAGUCGGUAGAGCGUCUCACUCGUAAUGAGAAGGUCCCGGGUUCGAUUCCCGGAGGCGGCCCCA